rnacentral:rRNA from 1 species
ACAAGCAGUGGGAGCACCCUUUGGGUGUGACUGCGUACCUUUUGUAUAAUGGGUCAGCGACUUAUAUUCUGUAGCAAGGUUAACCGAAUAGGGGAGCCGGAGGGAAACCGAGUCUUAACCGGGCGUUAAGUUGCAGGGUAUAGACCCGAAACCCGGUGAUCUAGCCAUGGGCAGGUUGAAGGUUGGGUAACACUAACUGGAGGACCGAACCGACUAAUGUUGAAAAAUUAGCGGAUGACCUGUGGCUGGGGGUGAAAGGCCAAUCAAACCGGGAGAUAGCUGGUUCUCCCCGAAAGCUAUUUAGGUAGCGCCUCGUGAAUUCAUCUCCGGGGGUAGAGCACUGUUUCGGCUAGGGGGCCAUCCCGGCUUACCAACCCGAUGCAAACUGCGAAUACCGGAGAAUGUUAUCACGGGAGACACACGGCGGGUGCUAACGUCCGUCGUGAAGAGGGAAACAACCCAGACCGCCAGCUAAGGUCCCAAAGUCAUGGUUAAGUGGGAAACGAUGUGGGAAGGCCCAGACAGCCAGGAUGUUGGCUUAGAAGCAGCCAUCAUUUAAAGAAAGCGUAAUAGCUCACUGGUCGAGUCGGCCUGCGCGGAAGAUGUAACGGGGCUAAACCAUGCACCGAAGCUGCGGCAGCGACACUGUGUGUUGUUGGGUA